UUGUUUUCUUAGCCUGCCUACUUUACUUUCACAGGAGAUCUAACAAUUAAAACUAAAUGUAGGUGGCUAUCAAAAUGAUUUUGGGGUAACCUGAGUAUAAAGAACAAAAAAAAAAAAUUCAUUCGCUCAUAUCAAUGUGAAAAUUUUACUUUAUCCUCCCAGCAGGCAUCUGGUUUGCAUGGAAACCUUUAAUCUUUUUCCAGUUAUUUCUCGGGAGAAGUUGAUUAAAUCUGAAAGGACUUUUACUCUUGUCCUCCACUGUGAAUAUGAGGGGAAAAGUGGGUGUAUGUGGGUGUAUGUGAGGCACAAGUCCUCAUUAGCAAACUGAGCAUGUUACUUUUGCCUCAAAGGAAUGUUUUAAAAAGCUUUGCACAAAUGUCUCUCAAUGAGGAAAAAAAUAAGCAAAGCCUAAAACUUGAAAUGGCUCCUCCCCUCGUGUCCUACUUUCCUUGUCCUUUUGUGUGCUGACAGCUCAGUUCCCUUCAGUUUUCUCACUCAAAGGAGACUGUACAUCUGUCCAAAAUGGCUGUGCGAUUAUUUGAAGGCAAAGAACAUGCAAACUCAUACUGGAAGUAUCGCAUUUCACCCUCAGAAGAGCUCAUUGGCAAAGUUCUGCAAUUUCACAGGAAUAAUGAAUAUUCAUCUAAUGGCCUGGCAGUAGAUGUUGGCUGCGGGUCAGGACAGGGAACGUUGCUCUUGGCACCACAUUUUACACGUGUGGUUGGGACAGAUAUUAGUCCAGCUCAGCUGGAAAUGGGAAGGAAACAUGUUAACAUUCCAAACGUUUCUUUCAGGGAGAGUCCAGCUGAAGAACUGCCCUUUGAAGAUGGCUCUGUAGAUCUUGUGACGGCCAUGUCUGCGUUCCACUGGUUUGACCAUUCACGUUUUCUUCAGGAGGCCGACAGAGUGCUCAAACCUCAUGGCUGCCUCGCACUUCUCAACUACACACUGGACAUGGAGCUAACUUAUGGAAACUGUUCAGAAGCAUUAAACCUCAUUUGUAAUGAGGUGCCCUAAUGUGCAUCUCCUGCUUCAACCUGCAAUUCACUUUUUUAUGCAGCUCUGCAUCCUUUACGGGAUCCUCAUCUGGGUCCCAGCUCUUUUGAACUGUACAAAAGAACAUAUGACUCUCUGCAGUACCCAGUCAAAGAAUGGCAUGAUAUGUUUGGGGUGAAGAAGGCAGUCCCUCUCUCUGGCUACAUUGGCAUGGUGAAGUCUUUCUCCACAUUUCAGACACUCCUAAAAAAAGAUCCAGAAGAGGCCAGACGGCUCUCGCAGGACAUUGAAGAUAGACUGAAGCGUGCGAUGGACGUGACAUCCUCAGAGACAGAAGUUAUCAUGGGAGUUAAAUACUUUUAUUUUCUGGCACAAAAGCCUGCAAAUGAUUGAUGCCUCAUUUACUGUAGAUGAACAGACCUUAGUAUUAAUCAUACAUUAAUUCCUGAUGUGAUUGACUCACUAAUUUCCAUAACAUUACGUUUUGUAACCUUCAAAUUAAAGCAAUAAAUUAUCUUCAGCAAGUA